AUUGAACGCUGGCGGCAGGCUUAACACAUGCAAGUCGAGCGGUAACAGAGAGAAGCUUGCUUCUCUGCUGACGAGCGGCGGACGGGUGAGUAAUGCCUAGGAAUCUGCCUAGUAGUGGGGGAUAACUUGCCGAAAGGUAAGCUAAUACCGCAUACGUCCUACGGGAGAAAGGAGGGGACCUUCGGGCCUUUCGCUAUUAGAUGAGCCUAGGUCGGAUUAGUUAGUUGGUGAGGUAAUGGCUCACCAAGACCGCGAUCCGUAACUGGUCUGAGAGGAUGAUCAGUCACACUGGAACUGAGACACGGUCCAGACUCCUACGGGAGGCAGCAGUGGGGAAUAUUGGACAAUGGGGGGAACCCUGAUCCAGCCAUGCCGCGUGUGUGAAGAAGGUCUUAGGAUUGUAAAGCACUUUAAGUUGGGAGGAAGAGCAGUUAACUAAUAGUUGACUGUUUUGACGUUACCGACAGAAUAAGCACCGGCUAACUUCGU
rnacentral:rRNA from 1 species